GAUGAACGCUGGCGGCGUGCCUAAUACAUGCAAGCCGAGCGAACGGACGAGAAGCUUGCUUCUCUGAUGUUAGCGGCGGACGGGUGAGUAACACGUGGAUAACCUACCUAUAAGACUGGGAUAACUUCGGGAAACCGGAGCUAAUACCGGAUGAUAUUUUGAACCGCAUGGUUCAAAAGUGAAAGACGGUCUUGCUGUCACUUAUAGAUGGAUCCGCGCUGCAUUAGCUAGUUGGUAAGGUAACGGCUUACCAAGGCAACGAUGCAUAGCCGACCUGAGAGGGUGAUCGGCAACACUGGAACUGAGACACGGUCCAGACUCCUACGGGAGGCAGCAGGAGGGAAUCUUCCGCAAGGGGCGAAAGCCUGACGGAGCAACGCCGCGUGAGUGAUGAAGGUCUUCGGAUCGUAAAACUCUGUUAUUAGGGAAGAACAUAUGUGUAAGUAACUGUGCACAUCUGGACGGUACCUAAGCAGAAAGCCACGGCUAACUACGU
rnacentral:rRNA from 1 species